rnacentral:rRNA from 1 species
ACGCGUAGGUAACCUGCCUAUUAGCGGGGGAUAACUAUUGGAAACGAUAGCUAAUACCGCAUAAUAUUAAUUAUUGCAUGAUAAUUGAUUGAAAGAUGCAAGCGCAUCACUAGUAGAUGGACCUGCUUGUAUUAGCUAGUUGGUAAGGUAAGAGCUUACCAAGGCGACGAUACAUAGCCGACCUGAGAGGGUGAUCGGCCACACUGGGACUGAGACACGGCCCAGACUUCUACGGGAGGCAGCAGUAGGGAAUCUUCGGCAAUGGACGAAAGUCUGACCGAGCAACGCCGCGUGAGUGAAGAAGGUUUUCGGAUCGUAAAGCUCUGUUGUAAGUCAAGAACGUGUGUGAGAGUGGAAAGU